rnacentral:snRNA from 1 species
UCGCUUUGGCAGCAAAUAUACUAAAAUUGGAACUAUAGAGAGAAGAUUACCAUGGCCCCUGCACAAGGAUGACAUGCAAAUCUGUGAAGCGUUCCCUAUUUUU